UGGGGAAUAUUGGACAAUGGGCGAAAGCCUGAUCCAGCCAUGCCGCGUGUGUGAAGAAGGUCUUCGGAUUGUAAAGCACUUUAAGUUGGGAGGAAGGGCAUUAACCUAAUACGUUAGUGUUUUGACGUUACCGACAGAAUAAGCACCGGCUAACUCUGUGCCAGCAGCCGCGGUAAUACAGAGGGUGCAAGCGUUAAUCGGAAUUACUGGGCGUAAAGCGCGCGUAGGUGGUUUGUUAAGUUGGAUGUGAAAGCCCCGGGCUCAACCUGGGAACUGCAUCCAAAACUGGCAAGCUAGAGUACGGUAGAGGGUGGUGGAAUUUCCUGUGUAGCGGUGAAAUGCAUAGAUAUAGGAAGGAACACCAGUGGCGAAGGCGACCACCUGGACUGAUACUGACACUGAGGUGCGAAAGCGUGGGGAGCAAACA
rnacentral:rRNA from 1 species